CGUGACACUGAUGACUACUGGUGACGUGAGUUGUGGAUAAUGAAAAUAAGUGUCUGAAAUGCUGAGAUCCAA